rnacentral:rRNA from 1 species
AGGAUUAACGCUGGCGGCGUGCAUGAAACAUGCAAGUCGAGCGCGGUGUGAUGCGGGGUAACCCAAUUCACAUCUAGCGGCGAACGGGUGAGUAACACGUGAGCAACCUACCUUUGAGUUGGGGAUAGCCCUGGGAAACCAGGAUUAAUACCCGAUGUGGUCACAACAGGACAUCCUGAUGUGAGUAAAGGCGUAAGCCGCUCAAUGACGGGCUCGCGGCCUAUUAGCUUGUUGGUGGGGUAACGGCCUACCAAGGCGAUGAUGGGUAGCUGGUCUGAGAGGACGAUCAGCCACACUGGGACUGAGACACGGCCCAGACUCCUACGGGAGGCAGCAGUUAGGAAUUUUCCGCAAUGGGCGAAAGCCUGACGGAGCAACGCCGCGUGAGUGAUGAAGGUCUUCGGAUUGUAACCUCUGUCACCGGGGUAAAAACGUUUGAGUUAAUAGCUCAAAGCCUAGAUUUAACCCGGAGAGGAAGCAGUGGCUAACUCUGUG